UCUCCGUAGGUGAACCAGCGGAGGGAUCAUUAUUGAGUUUAUAAUUUCCAAACCCUAUGUGAACUUACCACUUGUUGCUUCAGCGCGCGCUUCGUUGCUGUCGAGGACACUUAAACUCUUUGUUUUUAUAAGCAUUUCUGAGUGGCCGAAAGGCAAAAUACAAAUGAAUCAAAACUUUCAACAACGGAUCUCUUGGUUCUG
rnacentral:misc_RNA from 1 species